rnacentral:rRNA from 1 species
CGUAAAGACGCAUGCAGGUGGUUUGUUAAGUCAGAUGUGAAAGACCCGGGGCUCAACCUCGGAACUGCAUUUGAAACUGGCAGGCUAGAGUCUUGUAGAGGGGGGGUAGGAAGUUUCAGGUGUAGCGGUGAAAUGCGUAGAGAUCUGAAGGAAUACCAGUGGCGAAGGCGGCCCCCUGGACAAAGACUGACGCUCAGAUGCGAAAGCGUGGGGAGCAAACAGGAUUAGAUACCCCUGGUAG